UGAUGAAAAAUCUCCGGAAUCUCUGUAUUUACUUGAUGAAUACUAUGAACCUAUUAUCUGAUGACUGUUUUGCUUUUCUUU